GAUGAACGCUAGCGGCAGGCUUAAUACAUGCAAGUCGUGGGGCGGCAUGAAUGUAGCAAUACAUUUGAUGGCGACCGGCAAACGGGUGCGGAACACGUACACAACCUUCCUAUAAGUGGGGAAUAGCCCAGAGAAAUUUGGAUUAAUACCCCGUAACAUAAUGAUGUGGCAUCACAUUAUUAUUAUAGCUUCGGCGCUUAUUGAUGGGUGUGCGGCUGAUUAGAUAGUUGGCGGGGUAACGGCCCACAAAGUCUACUAUCAGUAGCUGAUGUGAGAGCAUAAUCAGCCACACGGGCACUGGGACACGGGCCAGACGCCGACGGGAGGCAGCAGUAAGGAAUAUGGGUCAAUGGACGCAAUUCUGGACCGGACAUUCAGCGUUGAGUAAUAAGGUCCUCUGGAUUGUAGACUUAUUUUAUCGGCGACGAAAAAUGGCGAUUCUUCGUCACUUGACGGUACCAGAUGAAUAAGCACCGGCGAACUCCGUGCCAGCCACCGCGGUAACAC
rnacentral:rRNA from 1 species